CUCCUGUUUGCAUGCCUCUGAAUAACGUUUUUGACAGCUUAUAAAAGGAACGCUUGUGGAAGAGCGGCCCGGUCCGCGCCCAGACGCUCGCUGCUCCCCGUCGGCGCACAGUAGGGCUCGAUAAACCUUUGUUGGGUGGAGGAAGGGUCAACAGUAAUUAUUUAGUGCAAGAGCGGGGAGCAGUCGCUUUGGCACCCCGAGAAAGACGGGCUCAGAGCGAGCUGCUGUCAGUCACACGGCGCUCGCUGUCAAGAGCAGAAAAUCGCAAUUUUAAAGCAACAUCACCCAAGUUCUACAAACAAGCACUCUCAGGUUUACAGAGAACUGAGCAGACAGCGCGGAGAGCGCAGCGGCCCCGCCCCGCCCCCACGCCCGUCCCGGACCCUGCUGUCCUCUGUCGCGGACCCCUGGCGUCGACGCGCCCGCUGUGCUACAGCAGAUGAGUCCAUACUGAGAAUUCAUCGUCAGCCGAAGCCCACCGCGUCCAUCGGCGGUCGCCCUUGGUGCUGGGCCUCCUGCGGGUUUUACCAAAUGCGUGUGUCGCGUGGGCCCCGCGCCAGUCCAUGCAGAGCAGGCCACCGCCCUGCGAGCCUCCCUGCUGUGCCCACUCGUCCAUCCCCCCACCAGCCGGCCACCACCGCCCUCUGUCCUGCCGCCAGAGCUCUGCGGGCUUCAGCGUGUCCUGCAGUUGCAACCACAGGACGCACGCAGCCUUUCGUCUCGUGGACCGAGGCUUCCCCCUUGUCUUUACGACGUGACAGGCAUUUCUUUUCACUGUCCCGUGUCACUGCGCUGUGAAGGGGGCCACGGUGAGCUUAGUCACCUACUGAAGGACGUCCUGGCUGUGCCCACGUGUUUGGCCAUUUUCAGUAAAACUUCUCUCCACGGCCACGUGCAGGGAUGGGCACGGACAGAAGGAAACCUUUCAGUUCAGUUUUUUAAAUAAAAGGUUCGCAGUCGAUGCCGCUCCCGCCGUUGUUCCUGUUGUGAUCGCUGACGUUACUGCGAUCGUGUAGCCAGACCUGGAGGAACAAGCGCGGAUGGAGGUGACCGCCGGACCCGGGGUCCCUGCACCCUCCCGCAGGGCUCAGGCCACCGUCCCGGUCUGGCCUGUCGCCUGUGGUUGCCAGGCGGGUGCAGCUUGCACUGGGGCUGGGACGGGUCGCGCCAGCCCAGCCUGUCGUUCGCGUGGGAGCGUCUAGAGCUACACAGAGAAGAGCGCCCUGUGCAUCCUGUUUCGCUCCGAUUUCUGAGAAUGUUCCUUAAUCCUUCGGUCUUCACGGUCACAUCUGCAAAUUGGAUAUUUUCAUAAACCGACGGAGUUAGAGGACAGGGAGGCUGGAAACACUGUUAAACCUUCCAGCUUUAAAAGGUCUGAUGUAUUAGACACGUAAAAGCAAAAUAAAAUAAUGUUUUAAAAAUUAUCCAAUAAUCGCAUAGCAGCAGCAUCUUGCGUUUAGCCAUCUUUCUAACGCGGACACACACGUGACAACACACAGUAUGUGAAUCAA